rnacentral:rRNA from 1 species
UACAGAGGGUGCGAGCGUUAAUCGGAAUUACUGGGCGUAAAGCGUGCGUAGGUGGUUCGUUGUGUCUGUGGUGAAAGCCCCGGGCUUAACCUGGGAAUGGCCAUGGAAACUGGCGAGCUGGAGUGUGGCAGAGGAGGGUGGAAUUCCGCGUGUAGCAGUGAAAUGCGUAGAGAUGCGGAGGAACACCGAUGGCGAAGGCAGCCCUCUGGGCUAACACUGACGCUGAGGCACGAAAGCGUGGGGAGCGAACAGG